rnacentral:rRNA from 1 species
CACGUAGUUAGCCGUGGCUUUCUAAUAAGGUACCGUCAAGGUGCGUUCAUUACCUAACGCACUUAUUCUUCCCUUACAACAGAGUUUUACGAUCCGAAAACCUUCAUCACUCACGCGGCGUUGCUCCAUCAGACUUUCGUCCAUUGUGGAAGAUUCCCUACUGCUGCCUCCCGUAGGAGUUUGGGCCGUGUCUCAGUCCCAAUGUGGCCGAUCACCCUCUCAGGUCGGCUAUGCAUCGUUGCCUUGGUAGGCCGUUACCCCACCAACUAGCUAAUGCACCGCGGGCCCAUCCUGUAGUGACGCCGAAGCGCCUUUUAGCUUAAAGCCAUGAGGCUAAAAGAAUUAUCCGGUAUUAGCUUCCGGUUUCCCGAAGUUACUCCCAGUCUACAGGGCAGGUUGCCCACGUGUUACUCACCCCGUCCGCCGCUAAAUCAGAGAAGCAAGCUUCUCAUCAUUCGCUCGACUUGCAUGUAUUAGGCACGCCGCCAGUCGUUCGUCCUGACCAGGCUACAACUCUCG